rnacentral:lncRNA from 1 species
GUAAUAAUAUAUAACUUUGUACAUAGGUAGUUUUUGUUGUGUGCAUUUAAAAAAUAAAACUCUAAAAAUAACAGGAGACAUUCUAAGAAUAGCCGAGCAUUUAAACACCUUCUUUCGAAUUUGCACAACAACAAAUCGUCUCUCAUAGUGAUUGAACAGGACUCUUCUUCUUCUUGAAAGACCUCAAGGGUAUCACGCGUCAAAUCCUAAUAUUAUUCAUUAUUGCUGAACGGUCAAUUAUGUAGAUAUCUACUUACAUAGGUGCAAAAAUAUCACGCGAAAAAAUAUUUCAAUCUUUUGUAUUUUUGAAGAAAAGGAGGCUUUUAAUUUAAUUUACGGGGUUCACGGAAAUCAAGAAUGAUUCUUGGAAAGAAUCAUACUACGAAGAAUCAAUUCAAUCAAAAGUAAGAAGUUUUUCUUAUGUAACACAUUUCGUUACCUUUAUUGUAUGAACAACCAAUCCUCCGAAAUGAAACAGGGGGAAAAGUCCCAAAAUGGAAAGGUCAUCCAAAACCGAGGCCCUCAAAGCUACUUUCAGCCAGCACUGGGACGCCAAGACAUAGGACAAAAUCUGUAGUGGAUGUAAAAUCCUUCUCCAGCGCCUGGAAGCCAUCAUUGCCGCUAAUUGCAGCUACAUUAAUCAUUAAUAGAGCUCAAUCACAACUCCAUUUACAGUAUUAACUUUGUUGAAAAUCUAUAAUUAAUUGAUAAAUUACACAUCUUGUUGAUAUUUUAAA